AUUGAACGCUGGCGGCAGGCCUAACACAUGCAAGUCGAACGAGUGGCGGACGGGUGAGUAAUGUCUGGGAAACUGCCCGAUGGAGGGGGAUAACUACUGGAAACGGUAGCUAAUACCGCAUACCAUCGGAUGUGCCCAGAUGGGAUUAGCUAGUCAGUGUGGUAACGGCUCACCUAGGCGACGAUCACUAGCUGGGCUGAGCGGAUGACCAGCGACACGGGAACUGAGACACGGGCCAGACUCCGACGGGAGGAAGGAGUGGGGAAUAUUGCACAAUGGGCGAAAGCCUGAUGCAGACAUGCCGCGUGUAUGAAGAAGGCCUUCGGGUUGUAAAGUACUUUCAGCGAGGAGGAGUUACUCGCAGAAGAAGCACCGGCUAACUCCGUGCCAGCAGCCGCGGUAAUAC
rnacentral:rRNA from 1 species